rnacentral:rRNA from 1 species
AAGGGGUGACGGCGUACCUUUUGUAUAAUGGGUCAGCGACUUACGUUCAGUAGCAAGCUUAACCGUAUAGGGCAGGCGUAGCGAAAGCGAGUCCGAAUAGGGCGUUCAGUUGCUGGGCGUAGACCCGAAACCAGGUGAUCUAUCCAUGGCCAGGAUGAAGGUGCGGUAACACGUACUGGAGGUCCGAACCCACUAACGUUGAAAAGUUAGGGGAUGAGCUGUGGAUAGGGGUGAAAGGCUAAACAAACCUGGAAAUAGCUGGUUCUCUCCGAAAACUAUUUAGGUAGUGCCUCGUGUCUCACCUUCGGGGGUAGAGCACUGUCAUGGUUGGGGGGUCUAUUGCAGAUUACCCCGCCAUAGCAAACUCCGAAUACCGAAGAGUGCAAUCACGGGAGACAGACAUCGGGUGCUAACGUCCGGUGUCAAGAGGGAAACAACCCAGACCGCCAGCUAAGGUCCCCAAAUAUAGCUAAGUGGGAAACGAAGUGGGAAGGCUAAAACAGUCAGGAGGUUGGCUUAGAAGCAGCCACCCUUUAAAGAAAGCGUAAUAGCUCACUGAUCGAGUCGUCCUGCGCGGAAGAUGUAACGGGGCUAAGCUAUAUACCGAAGCUGCGGAUGCGUGCUUGCACGCAUGGUAGGAGAGCGUUCCGUAAGCCUGCGAAGGUGCCUUGUAAAGGGUGCUGGAGGUAUCGGAAGUGCGAAUGCUGACAUGAGUAGCGAUAAAGGGGGUGAAAGGCCCCCUCGCCGUAAGCCCAAGGUUUCCUACGCAACGUUCAUCGGCGUAGGGUGAGUCGGCCCCUAAGGCGAGGCAGAAAUGCGUAGCUGAUGGGAAGCAGGUCAAUAUUCCUGCACCAUUGUUAGAUGCGAUGGGGGGACGGAUCGCGGAAGGUUGUCCGGGUGUUGGAAGUCCCGGUCGCUGCAUUGGAGAAGGCGCUUAGGCAAAUCCGGGCGCGUAAUUCAAGGGUGUGGCGCGAGCUCCUU